GGCUUUAUAGUCAAUGUAUGAUAUUAGAUUGCAAAUCUGAAGUAGUAGUUUUACUGAAGCUU
rnacentral:tRNA from 1 species